AAUUAGGGUUCGAUUCCGGAGAGGGAGCCUGAGAAACGGCUACCACAUCCAAGGAAGGCAGCAGGCGCGCAAAUUACCCAAUCCCGAUACGGGGAGGUAGUGACAAUAAAUAACAAUACAGGGCUCUUAUGGGUCUAGUAAUUGGAAUGAGUACAAUUUAAAUCCCUUAACGAGGAACAAUUGGAGGGCAAGUCUGGUGCCAGCAGCCGCGGUAAUUCCAGCUCCAAUAGCGUAUAUUAAAGUUGUUGCAGUUAAAAAGCUCGUAGUUGAAUUUCGGGGUUCUACUGUUGGUCGGGCAAUUGUCUGUACUGAUGUGUAGAAUUUCUACCUUCUGGAGAACCAUCAUGUUAUUAAUUUAGCGUGGUGGGAAACCAGAACCUUUACCUUGAAAAAAUUAGAGUGUUCAAAGCAGGCUUACGUCUGAAUACAUUAGCAUGGAAUAAUAAAAUAGGACGGUGGUCCUGUUUUGUCGGUUUCUAAAUCACCGUAAUGAUUAAUAGGGAUAGUUGGGGGCAUUAGUAUUCAAUUGUCAGAGGUGAAAUUCUUGGAUUUAUUGAAGACUAACUUCUGCGAAAGCAUUUGCCAAGUAUGUUUUCAUUAAUCAAGAACGAAAGUUAGGGGAUCGAAGACUAUCAGAUACCGUCGUAGUCUUAACCAUAAACUAUGCCGACUAGGGAUCGGACGAUGUUA
rnacentral:rRNA from 1 species